rnacentral:rRNA from 1 species
AUUGAACGCUGGCGGCAGGCCUAACACAUGCAAGUCGAGCGGAGCGGCGGACGGGUGCGUAAUGCCUAGGAAUCUGCCUGGUAGUGGGGGAUAACGUCCGGAAACGGGCGCUAAUACCGCAUCCUAUCAGAUGAGCCUAGGUCGGAUUAGAUAGGUGGGGGGGUAAAGGCUUACCAAGGCGACGAGCCGUAACUGGUCGGAGAGGAUGAUCAGUCACACUUGAACUGAGACACGGUCCAGACUCCUACGGGGGGCAACAGUUGGGAAAAUGGGACAAUGGGCGAAAGCCUGGUCCCGCCAUUCCGCGUGGGUGAAGAAGGUCUUCGGCUUGUAAAGCACGUUAAGUUGGGAGGCGGUACCAACAGAAUAAGCACCGGCUAACUUCGUGCCAGCAGCCGCGGUAAUAC